AUGUGGGGCUUGAUCCCCGGACCAUGGGAUCACCACUCACGUCAAAGGCAGAGGCCCAACUGACUGCAAGUGCCCUCGACAGGAUGAAGUUUAACUCAAGAAGAUACUAACCUUCAGCUCAAUCUCAAGCAGAGAAAAGUCCUCCAAGAAAUAUACCAGAAGUUGUAGUGACUACGGUCAAGGCCUGUCGGUUUUGUUCACCUUUUGGAGAAAAUUACUGGGAGAUACACAAUGUCUCCAAGCCACCAUAAAAUGAAGCAUUUAUACAUAAUUACAUUCCCUUCACAGGUCACACAGAAAGGUGGGCAAGUGGUAGCAGAGUAUAAGAAUGGCUUCUGCAAACAAGGUCGAGCUACUGACACUCCUGGGCAGGAAUCGGGUUUUCUUAAUCAGAAAAAACAAUUAGAUGACUUGGAAUGUGGGGCUUCACAAAUUUGGGACCCAGAGCAAUAAGCAGCAAUGAUCUUUUGCACUAUCAAGCAAAGCUCUUGUUAAUCUACAAAUAAAACUUCAAUUGAUAUUAAAA